CAAAAAAAAAAAAAAAAAACUAUUCUUCCAAUUUUUCCGUUCCCGUCUUUAUUGUAUUAUUUUUUUGCAAAUCUAAAUAUUUAAAAAUUAUAAUUUUUUUUUGUAUAAAAAUUUCAACAUAAACUUGAAGCCUUCAAACAAGUCCAUAAUUUUUGUUGCCGUCACGUGUGGAACGGACAGCUGGACUUCUCCUUCAAAUUCAAUGAAACGCAACGGUCGGUAACUGCUAGAGAGAAUCUUCGUAAUGAACUGGGAAGUAGUUACUCAGUGGAACCACACAUAUUUAUCUUUUAUAAUUAUUUUUCAUAUUUCAGUAUGUUUUUAUGAGUGACUAAAAGCCUGUUAUGAUUUGUUUGGAUCAGGAGAUCUCGCGCUCCUUUUCUUGAACAAAAUCUCUUAUGUUUAUCAAAUCUUGAAUUUGAUUUUAAUUUCUCUAUUAUUUAUUUUCAAUUUCAAAUACAAAAUUGUAUAAAUCGUUUGUACACAAAUAAUAAAAAUAUAAAUAUCAUAAAAGUAAAUGACCUUUAAAGUUUUUUUAUAUUUU
rnacentral:misc_RNA from 1 species